rnacentral:rRNA from 1 species
GAUAAACGCUGGCGGCGUGCCUAAUACAUGCAAGUCGAGCGAACGGACGAGAAGCUUGCUUCUCUGAUGUUAGCGGCGGACGGGUGAGUAACACGUGGAUAACCUACCUAUAAGACUGGGAUAACUUCGGGAAACCGGAGCUAAUACCGGAUAAUAUUUUGAACCGCAUGGUUCAAAAGUGAAAGACGGUCUUGCUGUCACUUAUAGAUGGAUCCGCGCUGCAUUAGCUAGUUGGUAAGGUAACGGCUUACCAAGGCAACGAUGCAUAGCCGACCUGAGAGGGUGAUCGGCCACACUGGAACUGAGACACGGUCCAGACUCCUACGGGAGGCAGCAGUAGGGAAUCUUCCGCAAUGGGCGAAAGCCUGACGGAGCAACGCCGCGUGAGUGAUGAAGGUCUUCGGAUCGUAAAACUCUGUUAUUAGGGAAGAACAUAUGUGUAAGUAACUGUGAACAUCUUGACGGUACCUAAUCAGAAAGCCACGGCUAACUACGUG